CUACGGGGGGCUGCAGUGAGGAAUAUUGCACAAUGGGGGAAACCCUGAUGCAGCAACGCCGCGUGGAGGAUGACGCAUUUCGGUGUGUAAACUCCUUUUAUAUGUCAAGAAAAUGACGGUAGCAUAUGAAUAAGCACCGGCUAACUCCGUGCCAGCAGCCGCGGUAAUACGGAGGGUGCAAGCGUUACUCGGAAUCACUGGGCGUAAAGGACGCGUAGGCGGGUUGUCAAGUCAGGUGUGAAAUCCUACAGCUUAACUGUAGAACUGCACUUGAAACUGGCAGCCUAGAGUAUGGGAGGGGGAGAUGGAAUUAGUAGUGUAGGGGUAAAAUCCGUAGAUAUUACUAGGAAUAUCAAAAGCGAAGGCGAUCUCCUGGAACAUUACUGACGCUAAGGCGUGAAAGCGUGGGGAGCAAACAGGAUUAGAUACCCCCGUAGUC
rnacentral:rRNA from 1 species